rnacentral:rRNA from 1 species
UCGGGAAUUUUGGGCAAUGGGCGAAAGCCUGACCCAGCAACGCCGCGUGAGGGAUGAAGUAUUUCGGUAUGUAAACCUCGAAAGAAUGGGAAGAAUAAAUGACGGUACCAUUUAUAAGCUCCGGCUAACUACGUGCCAGCAGCCGCGGUAAUACGUAGGGAGCAAGCGUUGUUCGGAUUUACUGGGCGUAAAGGGCGCGUAGGCGGCGCGGUAAGUCACUUGUGAAAUCUCUGAGCUUAACUCAGAACGGCCAAGUGAUACUGCUGUGCUAGAGUGCGGAAGAGGCAGCCGGAAUUCUUGGUGUAGCGGUGAAAUGCGUAGAUAUCAAGAGGAACACCUGAGGCGAAGGCGGGUUGCUGGGCCGACACUGACGCUGAUGCGCGAAAGCCAGGGGAGCAAACG